GAUGAACGCUGGCGGCGUGCCUAACACAUCCAAGUCGAACGGAGAUUACGGACGGAAGUUUUCGGAUGGAAGCCUGUAAUUCUUAGUGGCGGACGGGUGAGUAACGCGUGGGCAACCUGCCCUAUACAGGGGGAUAGCAGCUGGAAACGGCUGGUAAGACCGCAUAAGUCGGUUAAAUCGCAUGAUUUGAUCGGGAAAUGAGCAAUCAGGUAUAGGAUGGGCCCGCGUCCGAUUAGCCAGUUGGCAGGGUAAAAGCCUACCAAAGCGACGAUCGGUAGCCGGACUGAGAGGUCGGACGGCCACAUUGGGACUGAGACACGGCCCAAACUCCUACGGGAGGCAGCAGUGGGGGAUAUUGCACAAUGGAGGAAACUCUGAUGCAGCGACGCCGCGUGAGUGAAGAAGUAUUUCGGUAUGUAAAGCUCUAUCAGCAGGGAAGAUGAUGACGGUACCUGACUAAGAAGCCCCGGCUAACUACGUG
rnacentral:rRNA from 1 species